rnacentral:lncRNA from 1 species
CUCGGUCGGUGAGUCACGACGGCGGUCGCGUAGGCAUUUCGCCUUUCUUUGGUCGGGGCUCAAUCAGUAAGUUAGCCGAUAGUCUGGCCCGAAAGUACGAUCGUAGAAGGAGUGUCAACUCCCGUUAAUAUAAGUAUAUUGGUCCUCGCAAGAGUCUGAUAUGUCGUCGAAGGUUGAAGGAGUGUGGCUCCCAUCCUUGUAGGUAUAUCGGUCCUUGUCAGAGUCCGGUAUGUCGUCGGCUAUGGAGCCGUCGAUUUCGCACGGAUACCAAGUCCGAGUUGGCACGUCGGGGCUCGACCUUGGUGAGCGCCGAUCGUCAGUC